CUCACUUGCAUCAAUGUCCCGUUAUUUGCUGAUUUGCUCCGUCAUCAACCCUCACAACAUUUGGUUGAUUUUCUCACCACUGGGUUGUCCAUAGAUUGCCCGUCGGUACCCUGGAAUGCAGAAAUUUGUGCACAACGAUGGCAUGCCCGGAGUUGGUGGGUGAUUUGGUGAAAUGUGAAGUGGAACAGGGUUUUGUGUUAUGGCGUUUUAGUUCCCCCCCUUUUUCUUCAUGGAGGACCAACC